AUGGCACAGCCGAUGGAUCACAUCGCUGCAGCUGCUUCAAUUGUUCACAAGAGAGGCCAGCUCCCCUCAUUCCUUCUCCUCCAAUCUGUGGUUCCUGGGGCUGAAGCUGAAGACAAGGAAAUUUUACCGAGUACAGGCCAUGUUUGGUCUCUGUCCCAUUCCACUACAGGGUGCAUCCAUGGAGCAGCUCCGCUGCAGUGCAUGCAGGAGGACUUCCUGGUGCAUGAGGUGACCAAUCUGCCGGUGACAGAAGCACUGAUUGAGCGGGAGAAUGCAGCCCAUCUCAAGAAGUGGCGGGAAACACGGGGGGAGCUGCAAUAUUGGCCCUCACAGCGACUGCAUGGCUCCAGGACCACCCAUGAGGAGCGCAGGCGGCAACAGCCACCCCUGGGCCCCUCCUCCAGCCUCCUCAGCCUCCUCAGCCUCCCUGGCCUCAAGAGCCGAGGCUCCCGGGCAGCUGGAGGGCCCCCCUCUCCGCCGCCCCUCACCCUCCGGGCCAGCGCUGGGCCUGCCCCAGGGCCUGUGGUCACUGCUGAGGGACUGCAUCCAUCCCUUCCCUCACCCACUGGCAACAGCACCCCCUUGGGUUCCAGCAAGGAGACCCGGAAGCAGGAGAAGGAGCGGCAGAAACAGCAGAAAGAGCGAGAGAAGGAGAGGCAGAAGCAGGAGAAAGAGCGGGAGAAGCUGGAGAAGGAACGGGAGAAGCAGGAGAAGAAGGUUCAGGGCCGGAAGCCUUCAUUGCCUGGAAAGGCAGAUGGGACCCCAGGCCCCCACGAUGGCGACGACAGGCCCUCAGCAGCUGAGGCCCGGCAGGACGCUUACUUCUGACCUCUGCCCUGGGGCUGGACUGCAUGGCCCCCUCUUUCCCUCAGCCAAGAGCAGGCCUGGCCCGAGGUGCCACCCCUGGCCCCUGGGCAGGCUGUCCCUCACUGGGGAAAGAAGCUUGCUUCCCCGUCUCCUCACCAGCUGCUGAUCCCUAUACAAGCAGGGCAGAUGGGCAGCUGCAAAGGACUCUGGAGCUUCUCACCUCCCAUGAGACUCAGCUGGGGUCUCUGUCGCUCCUGCCCCAGUUCCCUCCAGGUCCCCUCCUAGGUGCUGUCCUGAUUGGCCCGUUGUCAUCCCAGGGGUGACUCCUGGUGAUGGGAGUCAGCAGUUUCAGAUUCUUACACUCCAUGGCUCCCCUUAGGAUGAGGUGGAGCUGGCUUCCUUUUCCCCAUCUUCAGCCCUGCCUGUCUUCCCCACUUCCUGGCCAGGGCUCUCCUUCUGGACCUCUCUGUGUUGUAAUUAUGUACAGAGGAUGGGGUUGGCCCUGGGUGGGGGAGUGGGGGUCUCGCUUUGUCUUCCGUCCUUUGGUUCUCCUUCCAUAAUGCUCCUGUACCCAGUUUAUUCAAGGGGACAUGCACUGGAAUAGGAAACGUCCCCCAUCUCCCUUCCUGCACCCUGCUGUGUGCUUCCUCCAAACCCACCUUACUGUGUUCUCAGGCCCUCCUGCUCUGUCUCAUCAGGACCCUACCAUUCACCUUGUUCCCUUCUACCCCUCCAGUUACUCCCUAUCUGGGUAAGGGUCUUCCCUUGAGCUCCAGGGGGUGGAACCCAAUGUUUACAUUCUCUUCUGUCUCUGCCCCGACCCCAUGCAGCGCUCUGAGCAAUCAGAAAAGAACCUGUUGUACCUGGAAAAAAAAAA